UACGAAGGGUGCAAGCGUUACUCGGAAUUACUGGGCGUAAAGCGUGCGUAGGUGGUUUGUUAAGUCUGUUGUGAAAGCCCGGGCUCAACCUGGGAAUGGCAAUGGAUACUGGCAAGCUAGAGUGCGGUAGAGGGAAGUGGAAUUUCCGGUGUAGCGGUGAAAUGCGUAGAUAUCGGAAGGAACAUCAGUGGCGAAAGCGACUUCCUGGACCAGUACCGACGUUCAGGCACGAAAGCGUGGGGAGCAAACAGG
rnacentral:rRNA from 1 species